rfam:Microcebus murinus cont1.313291, whole genome shotgun sequence.
UGGCGCCCAACGUGGGGCUCGGAUACGAGGGAUGCAGUGAGGACAUGGACGUGUGUCGCCAAAGCUCGUAGGGACCGAGCAGCUUAAAGUGAAAGUGCCUUCGACCAUUGCGGGAGCCUGCCUCGCUUGAGUAAAAGUUGAAUGCGUCUGCAAAAAUGGGCAGGAACUUAGCCAACAUCAAUUGUAUGUAACACAAUUGAGGGAAGUGUUAAAUACACGAAGAGUAAAGGUUGCAAAAGCAGAUUUGUUUAGAUUCUUUGAUUUUAUAAAGGAUGUGUGCCCCU